GACGAACCGAGCGAACGUUGUUCGGAAUAACUGGGCUUAAAGGGCGCGUAGGCGGGCCGCCAAGUUCGAGGUGAAAUCCUCCGGCUCAACCGGAGAACUGCCUCGAAUACUGGAGGCCUCGAGGCGGGUAGGGGCAUGCGGAACUGUGGGUGGAGCGGUGAAAUGCGUUGAUAUCCACAGGAACUCCGGUGGCGAAGGCGGCCUGCUGGGCAGUGGCUGACACUGAGGCGCGACAGCGUGGGGAGCAAACAGG
rnacentral:rRNA from 1 species